UACGUAGGGUGCGAGCGUUGUCCGGACUUAUUGGGCGUAAAGAGCUCGUAGGCGGCCUGUUGCGUCCGCUGUGAAAGCCCGGGGCUUAACCCCGGGUCGGCAGUGGAUACGGGCAGGCUAGAGGUAGGUAGGGGAGAAUGGAAUUCCCGGUGUAGCGGUGAAAUGCGCAGAUAUCGGGAGGAACACCGGUGGCGAAGGCGGUUCUCUGGGCCUUACCUGACGCUGAGGAGCGAAAGCGUGGGGAGCGAACAGG
rnacentral:rRNA from 1 species